rnacentral:rRNA from 1 species
UACGAAGGGGGCUAGCGUUGUUCGGAAUUACUGGGCGUAAAGCGCGCGCAGGCGGCCAUUCAAGUCAGGGGUGAAAGCCCAGAGCUCAACUCUGGAACUGCCCUUGAAACUGUAUGGCUUGAGUAUGGGAGAGGUGAGUGGAAUUCCCAGUGUAGAGGUGAAAUUCGUAGAUAUUGGGAAGAACACCGGUGGCGAAGGCGGCUCACUGGCUCAUUACUGACGCUCAGGCGCGACAGCGUGGGGAUCAAACAGG